rnacentral:lncRNA from 1 species
UGAGGGGCCCUUUGUGUUUGGAGGCCUUUAUGAGGCCGGAGGCGCCAACUGCUCUCAAGGGUUGCCUCCCCUUGUGUCCUGCUCAGGCUCAAUUGUACCUGGAGAGGAUCCAUCUACUUCUGGCAGUGCUGCAUUGUUGUGCCGUGAAGGAGUUGAUGCUGUGGGAGCGUCCUGCUCACGCCCAAUUGUACCUGGAGAGGAUCCAUCUACUUCUGGCAGUGCUGCAUUGUUGUGCCGUGAAGGAGUUGAUGCCGUGGCAGCGUCCUGCUCACGCCCAAUUGUACCUGGAGAGGAUCCAUCUACUUCUGGCAGUGCUGCAUUGGUGUGCUGUGAUGGAGUUGAUGCCGUGGGAGCGUCAUGCUCACGGCCAAUUGUACCCGGAGAGGAUCCAUCUACUUCUGGCAGUGCUGCAUUGGUGUGCUGUGAUGGAGUUGAUGAUGUGGGAAGUGCACCACAUGACGGGAUGAUGUAUGCUC